rnacentral:rRNA from 1 species
UACAGAGGGUGCGAGCGUUAAUCGGAAUUACUGGGCGUAAAGCGUGCGUAGACGGUUAUUUAAGUCGGAUGUGAAAUCCCCGGGCUCAACCUGGGAAUUGCAUUCGAUACUGGAUAGCUAGAGUUCGGCAGAGGGAAGCGGAAUUUCUGGUGUAGCGGUGAAAUGCGUAGAUAUCAGAAGGAACAUCAGUGGCGAAAGCGGCUUCCUGGACCAAGAACUGACGAUCAGGCUCGAAAGCGUGGGGAGCAAACAGG